AGCGAACGCUGACGGCAGGCUUAACACAUGCAAGUCGAGCGCCCCGCAAGGGGAGCGGCAGACGGGAGAGUAACACGUGGGAACGUACCUUUCAGUUCGGAACAACCAAGGGAAACUUUGGCUAAUACCGGAUACGCCCGUAAGGGGAAAGAUUCAUCGCUGAAAGAUCGGCCCGCGUCUGAUUAGCCAGUUGGUGGGGUAAUGGCCCACCAAGGCCACGAUCAGUAGCUGGUCUGAGAGGAUGAUCAGCCUCACUGGGACUGAGACACGGCCCAGACUCCUACGGGAGGCAGCGGUGGGGAAUAUUGGACAAUGGUCGCAAGCCUGAUCCGGCGAGGACGCGUGGAUGAUGAAGGAGUUAGGGUUGUAAAGACCUUUUAACAGGGAAGAUAAUGACGGUACCCGUAGAAUAAGCCCCGGCUAACUUCGUGCCAGCCGCCGCGGUAAAAC
rnacentral:rRNA from 1 species